GCCCUGAUGCUGGAAUUGGUAGACAGGCACGCUUCAGGAGCGUGUGUCCUUAAAGACAUGGGGGUUCAAGUCCCUCUCAGGGCA
rnacentral:tRNA from 1 species